ACCAACUCCACCAAACAACUCAGCAGGCACACCCAGGUGUCCAUCCCUAAGAGACAGAGAAAAGGAAAAACCCACAGCCAUUGUCUGGUUAUUGCUGCUACAAAGGCUGGAAAAGGGUGUGUCUGAUCAGGUGAAGCAAUUUGAAGAAAACUCAACAAACCUGAACUCCUUAACCACUCAGAUCCAGUCUGAGAUGCAGCGACUCAGCUCCUUCUGCGCUGAACAACAGCAGAGGUUGAAGUCUUCGGAGGGUGGCGAGGCGGGGGUGGAGCAUCCAGCCAGCCAGUAAAGAAGCAUAUGUCUUUGAGAGACACAUUUCAGUUUCUUUUGUUAGAACACAAAGUUUAGUAUUUAAGUUUCUCCUCAGAAUACGGACAAAAUAUAUUUGAAGACAACAAAUAAAAACAAAGAGCAGAAGUCAGUGAGUUCAUUUUUAUUUGUUGUAGUAGUGAUGAUGAUUUUAUUUAUAAAGUGCUUUCAGACAAAGUACACCUCUUUGAAAAUAAAGAGAUAAAUAAAAGUGAUGCACAGCAAUACACGUUUAAAAACACAAGUUAAAAAUAACUUCUUUUUUUUUUUUUUUUUUUUUUUAAAAGGCAGCGAAUUAAGACAUGUAGGAUCGGAUGAACAAGUGAGUCUUCAACUUAGCUUUAAAAACCCCCACAGAGCAUGCCUGCCUUGCACCAUCUGUAAACCUCUAAAACUUUUCUUUGGUAGCCUAGAAAGGAGAGCGUUACAAUAAUCGAUACGUGCUGACAUUUAUUUGUUUAUAUUUUAUUUCUUAUUGUCUUUAGUGGUAACAGCUCAUUGCCAUGGUUAAAGUUUGAAAGGCUGCAGUGACUUGACCAAUCCACCAGGUGGAGACAAACUUGGUGGAGCACUUGAGAAAUGAUGUCUGUUCCAAAGAACAAACGCAAACAAAAUAUUUUAAUAAUCACAAUAAAUAUGAGGGGAAUAAUGCCCACAGUUAAAAAAAAAAAAAAAAAAAAAAAAAGAAGCGCUCCUUGAGCCUGCACAGGUGGUGAAACGCUGAGUGUACUGGUCCCUGUGCAGCAGCGCCCCUGCUGCUUAAACAGUUUAUGGUCUGUAUCACACGCAUGCAGCUCAGAGUAAUCAGCCAGAGAUUCAGAGCUUUCUGCAGUUUGGUGUUUAAAACAGCUGCAGUUGGUUGUGGACAAAAACCUUUAUUUAUGAUUCAGAUUACACUGACUGCAUGUGAGCCACAUGUUAAUGUCGCUGCAUGGCUGAAGAAAUAAAAGGAGUUCAGG
ensembl:lncRNA